UGAAGAAGCAGUGCACCAUAAACUUAAUAAAUGCUUUACAGCAAUUUUUACCCACAAAAAAUGCAAAUGCUAUUGCAUUACCCAAAAAAGUGUUGAUUACUCUCAACUUUUUGGCCACAGGGUCUUUCCAGAAUUCUGUAGGUUCCAAUACCUGGUUAUCAGCAAGUCAACCUUCAGUAAGUAGAGCGGUAAAUGAAAUUUGUUCUACAAUUGCUGAGUAUUUAUUACCCACUUGGGUUCAGUUUCCUACUACCGAGGAGUCAAUUAGACUGGUCAAACAGGGAUUCUUCUUAAAAUAUGGGUUCAGAGGUGUUUUAGGAGCAGUAGAUGGAACUCAUGUGGAA